GGGGUUGUGGCUCAGAGGUAGAGCGCUCACGUACCAUACAGUGAGGUACUGGGUUCGAUUCCUCAGCACCA
rnacentral:tRNA from 1 species